rnacentral:rRNA from 1 species
GUGCCAGCAGCCGCGGUAAUACAGAGGGUGCAAGCGUUAAUCGGAAUUACUGGGCGUAAAGGGCGCGUAGGCGGAUUGAUAAGUUAGAUGUGAAAUCCCUGGGCUUAACCUGGGAACGGCAUUUAAUACUGUCAGUCUAGAGUAGAGUAGAGGGAAGUGGAAUUUCCGGUGUAGCGGUGAAAUGCGUAGAGAUCGGAAAGAACACCAGUGGCGAAGGCGGCUUCCUGGACUCAUACUGACGCUGAGGCGCGAAAGCGUGGGGAGCAAACAGGAUUAGAAACCCUCGUAGUCC